ACACGCAACAAAGGGGUGAGGCCAUAUUGCUGCAUUACAGUUAGCUACAUAAAUUCAUCAACUAACCGUUCAGAAACGUCCUGUUGCAUUCAAAAUGUUGUCACUUCUUCUUGAGUGUCUCCAUUAUUGUCCGACUCCGUUUUGAACAUAAAAGGCUGAACAGUUUCUGACAUUUUCAGUGAGUCUGCAUGAGGUAAUGUGAGGCGCUGCUAAGUGCUAUGCUAAUAACUAUGAUAACUACGGUAACUAUGAUAACUAUGCUAAGCUAUGCUAAAAGUGGUUCCGCCAGACCCGGAGAUCGGCUGAAUGGAUUUGAAAAAGGGACUGAGCUGGAAAAUGAAGUCCUGUCAACCCCUAAUGAUGAAGAGGUUUGCUCCACUGCUGACAGCGAGAGACAAGUGUCAGCGCAGGUUGUAGACCUUAACGACCCCAGUAAUUGGACUGUGCAUCUAGAUGCCAAGACAGUGGAUUUACUCAUGGAAAAAGGUCCUGUCGUGGUGUGCAGCUUUUUAUUUUCCCCUCGAAUCAAGAAGAAAAUACACUUUUCCGAUGACUUCUAUGAAAGAAAUUUGCCCAAUAGGGUUAAAGCUCAUAGAGAUUGGCUUGUCUAUCAAAGAAAACAGAUUCUAUAUUUUGCUUGUCUUGUAAACUGUGCAACAACUGCACAAGUCGGCCUCGGGCCAAACUUGGUAAUGAGGGCAAUAAUGAUUGGAGACAUUUGGCAGCUGUGCUGAAACAUCACAAAACAUACUGUGAUCAUAUAAGUGCUGCAACAUGGAUGAACUCUUCAUAAAGCUUUGCAUUUCGAGGAAUAAAUGCAAAGCUUUAUGAAGAGAACAAUGUUAACUUUUGGGAGUUAAUAGAGAUGCUUGCCAAAUUUGAUUCCACUAUGCAAGAACAUGUCAGGUGAAUAAGAAAUAAAGAAACUCAUGUACAUUAUCCAGUCUCAGAUUCAAAAUGAGAUCAUUUUUAUUAUGGCCACAAAUGUCAAAAAAACAUUAUUGUAAAUGACACAAAGAGAGCAAAAUAUUUUCCUGUGCUUCUUGAUUGCACACCAGAUAUGAUCCACCAAAAGUAAAUGUUUUGUCAAUAUAACAGCAUUAGAAGUGAAUGUAGAGGAAAACUUCAUUGAUUUCAAUUUCAUAAAGGAAAAAACUGGAAAGGAACUAUCAAAUGCAGUCCUGACCAAAAUAGAGGCCCUUGGACUGAACAUCACUGACUGUUGGGGCCAAGGAUUCAAUAACGUAAAAAACAUGAAAGGGCAAAAUCAGGGAAUCUAAGCCCAUAAAUAUUGUAUAAAUAUUUAUACAGUAUUUGCAGGCUCUCCAAAUUGGUGGGAAAUUGUUGAAGUUGACCUGCAAGUGCACAAGACUGUAUGAGCACGUCCGAAUCUCAGGAUAUAAAAACAGUGGACGAGUUGAGGAUACUUAGAGUGAUAAUUCCAAAGGGAUCAACUACAGCACUUCAAUUUUCCCACAGAAAUGUUUAAAAUAUUCAACUUUUUCAAAAGGUAUUCAACCUAUGGUUGCAGUAUAUCUAGACUCUAGAUCUAAAUCUAGAGUAGCUGUAUGCAUGUGACUCUGACUUACACUAUAUGUGUAAUGACCCAUCUGAAAAAUAUGAAAUAUAGCCUACAGACCUGAAUUACUGAAUUGUAAAAUAGUAACAAAGUCGCUAACACUCUGCUGAUUCCAUAGCUGAAGAUUUUCAAACUUCCACUGGCAUUAAUAUCAUCACAGAAACUGUGUGGCGAGAGCUUCAAGGAAUGGGUUUCCAUAGCCAAGUAGCCGCAUACAAUCCUCACAUCACCAAGUACAAUGCUAAGCGUCAGAUGGAGUGUUACAAAGCACACCGCCACUGGCAGUGGAACGCUGAUAAAAUAGUACUAUUUGUUAUGGAAAAUGCAAUUAAUGUUAGUGGGGACAUCGUUGCUAAUUUAUUAUCUAUGCCGUUUAAAGAAAAGCUGAAGUUAAUUGGCAAAGGAAGACCUGAACCAGAGCAUAAUUUAGUGCAGAAAGCCAAAGCUUUUGCAAGCAUUUCAACCCCAGAAAUUAUAAGUGAUAGCCCUGGAUGACAACAUCAACCAAGAAGCUAAAGCUGCCACUGUUUUAUAUGUUAAGCUUUAUUUGAGAAAACAGUCAUUUUGCAAAAUUACUGGUCAAAUUUAUACAAAAUUAAUACUGUAAAUUUACCAACUCAGCAACCAUUCUGCACAUUUGCUGUAAUUCUGCAUAAUAGUUCAAAUUUUCCCCAAAUCGUAAGUUUAUCACAGUCUGAUACAUACAUUUAAUUGGUUACUGUGCUAGUCUAAUGAUAUUAUUUAUUAUCAACAUUACCGUUUGUGGUGGUGGAUUCCAAAAUGCCACAAUUGCAGUUCGCUGUCUAUAAUGCGUAAGUGUCUGUCGCUAAUUUUCUUUGGUCUGAGUGCUGUCAUGAUGUGUCACUUUACAUUAAAUGUUGUUGGUUUAUCCCCCUAUAGGCAUUAUAGGGAACCUUAGUAUAAAUCAUCAUAAUUAUCAAGAUGGUUAUGUGUAUAGAAUGAACAGUAACACACUAGUGUUGCAAGUGUGCAAAAUUAUACUCUCGUAGUAAGCACAUAGUAUUCACACAAACAGUAAUGAAGCUCCAUUAGUAAGCUUAACCCCCACUGAGGAAUUAAAGAGCUUAGGGGAUCAGCCUUCUUCCCGUGCAAUCUUCACAGCAGGUUACUGAUUGAGGAGGGGGCAGAAGAUGAUGUCAGGCAAUUUUGUCAGGCAAUUAAAGGCUUUGAAACCAGUUGUUAAAAAUAUGUUUUUCAGUGAGGAGUUUAGAUUCACAGAUGUGGUGAGAACAGGCCGUAAAUAGAUUGUCAAUUGAGCAGGGCAGAGUGAGAGUAGAAAUAGAGUAAAGUAGGGUAGAGUAUGUCGAUGUAUGGUCUACAAAUCACAAGAGCUAUCUGGGAGUCAUUGUCCAUUGGAUAGAUUCAGACACACUUACCAUCUCUUCAGGGGCUUUAGCUUGCUGAAGGAUCAAGGGAAGGCACACUUACGACAAUCUGGCAGAGGUGCUUGAAAGUGUCCACAUGGAUUUCAGCAUUCAAAACAAAGUUGUGUUAACCGCUACAGACAAUGGUUCAAAUUUUGUAAAAGCAUUUAGUGUGUUCACAGCUGAAGAAAAGUGACUGAAGAUGAUGAAGAAAAUGAUGAAGAGGCAGAUAUUGAGUUUACUGAUGUUGCAGCAUUUCUAAAAGAGACCGAAAAGGAUGACUACCACUUGCCAGCCCAUCAACGCUGUGCCUGCCAUUCUCUCCACUUGCUUGCAACCAAAGAUGCUGAGGCAGCAGUGGAAGACUGUUCAUUUAAAAAGAUUUCAAGGGCAGCUUUCACCAAAUGUCAAAGCCUUUGGAAUAAACAGAGUAGAAGCACCCAAGCUUCUGACACCAUUAAAGACAAACUUGGAUGCAUCCUGGUUGUGCCUAGUGUAACUCAGUGGAAUUCUACAUAUAAUGCAAUGGAUCAUCUGAAAACAUGCAUUGAAGCGAAAUCUCAAGCUCCAUGAUGUUUGUGAGAAAAUGGAAAUUCCAUGACUAAAGCCAUCAGAGAUGACAUUCAUCAAAGAAUAUGUCAUGGUCAUUGCACCAGUGUCCAAGGCCCUAGAUGUUCUCCAGUUGGACAAAAUGGCAUACUUUGGAGUCUUGGUUGACAUUCUUGUUGAGUAGCUGCAAGAAAACCUCCAGUAUUGUCUGCCAUUAGUUCAUGCCAUCAUCAGUGGUGUAAACAGAAGGUUCAGUUACCUUUCCGGUAAAAUAUAUCUCAUGGCAACUGCUUCACAUCCUAUGUUUCAUAUGUUUUACAUACCAAAUGCGCAAAAAGAUGACAUCAUCUUAAGACUAAAACAGGAGCUUUCAGCAGCACACAGUCCACAUGUUGCAGAGACAAUUGUUUCAAGGAAGCCAGAAAAUGAAAGUGAUGAGAGCACAGACUACUUCUCCAGAAACCAGGAGCAUGUUUUGGAUGAAGUGGCAUUUGCUACAGUCUACAGCAACCACACCUGAUAGUGCUUUCCAGCAGCUAUCAAAAAUGAAGAGAGUCUUCAUUAACUGCAAUACUGGUGUCCCUGCCAGUGCCGCAUAUGAGCAGUUGUUUAGUGUUGGAAAAGACAUUUUCCUGCCAAAACACAACCGUCUUCCCGCCAGUCAUUUUGAGAAACUUCUCUUGUGUCGAAUUAACAGGCACUUCUGCUUCAGUUUAGAUCAGAGUACAAAUUGAGUUGCCUACAUUUUGUUCUUGCCUGCUCUUAUUAGAAGGACACUGCACCUCAAUCCUGGACUGGUGGUGUGAAACCUUCCCUGUUUUGCUUGAGGUAUAACAGUGACUAUAACUUUGCCAGUUCAACUAAAAUACUUAAAAUUUUCCAAGCGUCCUCACUCUUCAGAUUUGCGGCUUUUGUAACAUGACAAAUUAUAACAUUUUGACCCUUUGGAGGUCAACAUUUUGAAUGAAGUAGACAGGUUUCUACAGUCUACUGCAACUACACCAGAUAGUGCUUUCCCUGCCAGUGCCACAUGUGAGCGGUUGUUCAAUAUAUUUUCUUGCCAAAAUGCAACCAUCUCUCAAUCAGUAUUUUUAAAAAAAUGUUUCUGUGUAUGCAAUU